AUUCCUGAAUUGCCAGUCAAGUACAUGUCUGUAACAAACAAUACACCUUAGACCUAGCAACACAGCUAGUCAAAUUAGCAAACAGAUAUUAAGCAUGGCUAAUUUGAGCUUACAAGAACAAUGGUAUUCAUAGUUUCAGGGAUGGUGGAGGUUUACCAUAAUGAUAGCCAUCAAGAUAGAGAGGAUGAUCUUACUGAUGCUUGUCCAAAUGUUUUUCUGAUCAGACAUGAAGAGGUCACUGUCUAAGUCAGCUAUGGCUAUUCAUAACAAUAAUGAAAUUUAGUUAUUUCAAAUCUUUCCCUGGAUAUUUUGUUAAUCUUUAUUUUCUGUUGAAGACCUUUUUUCAAAUCUUAAGAAGUUAUCUAAGAGCACAUAUUU